AAAUUGAAGAGUUUGAUCAUGGCUCAGAUUGAACGCUGGCGGCAGGCCUAACACAUGCAAGUCGAACGGUAACAGGAAGCAGCUUGCUGCUUCGCUGACGAGUGGCGGACGGGUGAGUAAUGUCUGGGAAACUGCCUGAUGGAGGGGGAUAACUACUGGAAACGGUGGCUAAUACCGCAUAACGUCGCAAGACCAAAGAGGGGGACCUUCGGGCCUCUUGCCAUCAGAUGUGCCCAGAUGGGAUUAGCUAGUUGGUGAGGUAACGGCUCACCAAGGCGACGAUCCCUAGCUGGUCUGAGAGGAUGACCAGCCACACUGGAACUGAGACACGGUCCAGACUCCUACGGGAGGCAGCAGUGGGGAAUAUUGCACAAUGGGCGCAAGCCUGAUGCAGCCAUGCCGCGUGUAUGAAGGAGGCCUUCGGGUUGUAAAGUACUUUCAGCGGGGAGGAAGGUGUUGUGGUUAAUAACCGCAGCAAUUGACGUUACCCGCAGAAGAAGCACCGGCUAACUCCGUGCCAGCAGCCGCGGUAAUACGGAGGGUGCAAGCGUUAAUCGGAAUUACUGGGCGUAAAGCGCACGCAGGCGGUCUGUCAAGUCGGAUGUGAAAUCCCCGGGCUCAACCUGGGAACUGCAUUCGAAACUGGCAGGCUUGAGUCUUGUAGAGGGGGGUAGAAUUCCAGGUGUAGCGGUGAAAUGCGUAGAGAUCUGGAGGAAUACCGGUGGCGAAGGCGGCCCCCUGGACAAAGACUGACGCUCAGGUGCGAAAGCGUGGGGAGCAAACAGGAUUAGAUACCCUGGUAGUCCACGCCGUAAACGAUGUCUACUUGGAGGUUGUGCCCUUGAGGCGUGGCUUCCGGAGCUAACGCGUUAAGUAGACCGCCUGGGGAGUACGGCCGCAAGGUUAAAACUCAAAUGAAUUGACGGGGGCCCGCACAAGCGGUGGAGCAUGUGGUUUAAUUCGAUGCAACGCGAAGAACCUUACCUGGUCUUGACAUCCACAGAACUUUCCAGAGAUGGAUUGGUGCCUUCGGGAACUGUGAGACAGGUGCUGCAUGGCUGUCGUCAGCUCGUGUUGUGAAAUGUUGGGUUAAGUCCCGCAACGAGCGCAACCCUUAUCCUUUGUUGCCAGCGGUUAGGCCGGGAACUCAAAGGAGACUGCCAGUGAUAAACUGGAGGAAGGUGGGGAUGACGUCAAGUCAUCAUGGCCCUUACGACCAGGGCUACACACGUGCUACAAUGGCGCAUACAAAGAGAAGCGACCUCGCGAGAGCAAGCGGACCUCAUAAAGUGCGUCGUAGUCCGGAUUGGAGUCUGCAACUCGACUCCAUGAAGUCGGAAUCGCUAGUAAUCGUGGAUCAGAAUGCCACGGUGAAUACGUUCCCGGGCCUUGUACACACCGCCCGUCACACCAUGGGAGUGGGUUGCAAAAGAAGUAGGUAGCUUAACCUUCGGGAGGGCGCUUACCACUUUGUGAUUCAUGACUGGGGUGAAGUCGUAACAAGGUAACCGUAGGGGAACCUGCGGUUGGAUCACCUCCUUACCUUAAAGAUGC
rnacentral:rRNA from 1 species